rnacentral:tRNA from 2 species
GAGAGAUGGCCGAGUGGUUUAUGGCGCUGGUCUUGAAAACCAGUGAUGUCGAAAGGCACCGGGGGUUCGAAUCCCUCUCUCUCC